AUCUCUCCUGAAUAUUUUCUCUUUUCUUCUGUGAAUCUCUCUCUCUGCUCUCCCCAUCUUCUAUUCCCUCCUUCUCCUUUGUUCUUUCUUCUCUACUCUUUUCUUUUCUCUCUCUUUCUUCUCAUGAGUUCUCUCUCAUUCUUUCUCUUUCAUUCUUCUUCCUUUCGAACAUUUCCUCUCUCUGAUCUCUCUUUUCUUUCCUUCUGUUCUUUUCUUUUCUCUUUUUUUGUUUUUUUUUUGCUUUCUAAUUUUUGCUUUGUUUUCUGUUUUGCAGGUUAAAGUUCAAAAGGAUCAAAGAUCCUUGAAUCGUUCAAAUCCCAUAAAUCUAAUUGCCGAAGGACCCCAUGUAGGGUUGUGAGAUUUGAUUGUUGCAGCGAUUCCUGUAACAUGUGGACAAGACAUUGAAGUUCCUGAGAUUAUAUUAAAUUGUGGGUGCUCCUUCCCAUCUGGAGUGUGUGAUGCAUCAUUGCCAAUCCAUGCUGCCAAAAUGUUCACCCCCGGUGCUGCAAUAUCAGGCUGCAAGAGAGAGGAGGAGAGAGAGAGUCGUUGCCUUGAGUAGGUUUUGUAUGUUAAAUGAAGGGCCUCUUGAUGAGAAGUAUGCAACAGUUGGUGCAGGCCUGUAUUUUGUCACUGUAACAGUAGGUAGAAUUGUGGCCACUGGAUUUCUACAAAAAAAAUUCAAAGCUUGUCAAAAAUAGAAUUGUAGUUACGAUUCUUCAAUGAAGAGAACAAGUCUUAUUGAUUA